GAUGAACGCUAGCGGCAGGCCUAAUACAUGCAAGUCGAACGGUGUCUUCGGACAUAGUGGCGCACGGGUGCGUAACACGUAUGCAACCUACCUUACAUUGGGGGAUAGCCUUUCGAAAGGGAGAUUAAUACCGCAUAAGACAGUAGCUGGGCAUCCAGCAGCUGUUAAAGAUUUAUCGAUGUAAGCUGGGCAUGCGUCCAAUUAGCUAGUUGGUGAGGUAACGGCCCACCAAGGCAAUGAUUGGUAGGGGAACUGAGAGGUCAAUCCCCCACACUGGCACUGAGAUACGGGCCAGACUCCUACGGGAGGCAGCAGUAGGGAAUAUUGGGCAAUGGACGCAAGUCUGACCCAGCCAUGCCGCGCGCAGGAUGAAGGCGUUAUGCGUUGUAAACUGCUUUUAUACAGGAAGAAACGACUCUUGCGAGAGGCAUUGACGGUACUGUAUGAAUAAGCACCGGCUAACUACGUGCCAGCCGCCGCCGUAAGAC
rnacentral:rRNA from 1 species